CAGGCCUCCUCCCCUGCCCCCGUGCUGCUUUGGGAACCAGAGCUUCCUCGAGGGCCUUGAAGUGCUCAGGGAAGGGGACACAACCCUCGGAGUCCGACUCACCCUGCUCACUGAAGCAUACGAGACAUCCAGACUCUCUGGUCCCAUCCAGAAGAAGCUGACACGAUGUGUACACUUCGGUGACUCUGUUCAGGACGUGGUGUGGGCCUUGGGGCUCCCCAAACAAGGUGUUCUACAAGGAGGAGGACAAGAUGAAGAUCCACGCUCAGGACUCCCACCGACUACUGGCUGCCAGGGCAUCGGACUACUUCUACAACUACUUCACCCUGGGCAUGGAUGUGCUGUUCGAUGCCCAGCGGCAUGUGGUGAAGAAGAUAGUCCUGCAGAGCAACUACCCAGGCCACUUCAACUUCCAGCAGUACUACCGCUGCCCAUUCCGGCUGAGGCUGCGACUCCCUCCGACACCCGAG